UACGUAGGGGGCAAGCGUUGUCCGGAUUUAUUGGGCGUAAAGAGCGUGUAGGCGGCCAGGUAGGUCUGCUGUGAAAACUCGAGGCUCAACCUCGAGACGUCGGCGGAAACCAUCUGGCUAGAGUCCGGAAGAGGAGAGUGGAAGUUACCUGGUGUAGCGGUGGAAUGCGCAGAUAUCAGGAGGAACACCGGUGGCGAAGGCGGCAUCCUGGACCAACACUGACGCUGAGGAGCGAAAGCCAGGGAGCAAACGGG
rnacentral:rRNA from 1 species